rnacentral:rRNA from 1 species
UAGUCCACGCCGUAAACGAUGGAUACUAGCUGUUCGAACUUCGGUUUGAGUGGCUAAGCGAAAGUGAUAAGUAUCCCACCUGGGGAGUACGUUCGCAAGAAUGAAACUCAAAGGAAUUGACGGGGGCCCGCACAAGCGGUGGAGCAUGUGGUUUAAUUCGAUGAUACGCGAGGAACCUUACCAGGGCUUAAAUGUAAGUUGACAGGAGUGGAAACACUUUUUUCUUCGGACAAUUUACAAGGUGCUGCAUGGUUGUCGUCAGCUCGUGCCGUGAGGUGUCAGGUUAAGUCCUAUAACGAGCGCAACCCCUGUUGUUAGUUGCCAGCGAGUCAAGUCGGGAACUCUAACAAGACUGUCGGUGCAAACCGUGAGGAAGGUGGGGAUGACGUCAAAUCAUCACGGCCCUUACGUCCUGGGCUACACACGUGCUACAAUGGUAGGUACAGAGAGCAGCCACUGCGUGAGCAGGAGCGAAUCUACAAAACCUAUCUCAGUUCGGAUCGGAGUCUGCAA